GAUGAACGCUGGCGGCGUGCCUAAUACAUGCAAGUCGAGCGAAUGGAUUAAGAGCUUGCUCUUAUGAAGUUAGCGGCGGACGGGUGAGUAACACGUGAGUAACCUGCCCAUAAGACUGGGAUAACUCCGGGAAACCGGGGCUAAUACCGGAUAACAUUUUGAACCGCAUGGUUCGAAAUUGAAAGGCGGCUUCGGCUGUCACUUAUGGAUGGACCCGCGUCGCAUUAGCCAGUUGGUGAGGUAACGGCUCACCAAGGCAACGAUGCGUAGCCGACCUGGGAGGGUGAUCGGCCACACUGGGACUGAGACACGGCCCAGACUCCUACGGGAGGCAGCAGUAGGGAAUCUUCCGCAAUGGACGAAAGUCUGACGGAGCAACGCCGCGUGAGUGAUGAAGGCUUUCGGGUCGUAAAACUCUGUUGUUAGGGAAGAACAAGUGCUAGUUGAAUAAGCUGGCACCUUGACGGUACCUAACCAGAAAGCCACGGCUAACUACGUGCCAGCAGCCGCGGUAA
rnacentral:rRNA from 1 species